CCAACUAAUUUAAUUAUUCGUUGGAAAUAACCCUUAUAAUUCCUACUCAGUCCGAUAUAUUCCCUUCACCUCUUGCCCUAGUUUUUUCACGCCCUAAUUUUUCCAACAAAGGCGGCUGUGGCGAUUUUUCUGCCGAUCUCCGGACGGUUGCCGCUCGCGGCCGUGCCUGCCGCUCACGACCGCGGGCCGCUGCUCCUGGCCGCUCGCUGCCGCGGGCCGCCGCGCCUGGCCGCUCCCUCCUCUUCUUCUUCCACUCCAUGGGUGCAUUGCCGAUUAGCAGAAGCAGAGAUCUGGCUUUAAUCAUAGAAUAGUUGCAGCUAUUCCUCAGCGCAAUCUAUUUCUCUGGGUAAAUGUAGAACUUCUCUUGGCUGGACUACUUUUCGAUGUAUGAUUUGAAGUGAUUCGGUUCUCUGGUUCUCUGAUUUACUUUUUGGGCUCAGUAUUUUGGAAUCCUUUCCUCUCUUUUUUUUUCAGCUUUUCAAAAUUUUUUUACUUUAAUCUUUUCAACGUGAUGUUGUCUCCAUCUGCUCCUUUUGAAAAGUACUCAAAUCCGAUUCGAGUUUUGAAAUUCCUGAACUGUUGCUUUUUAUUAUCUUUUUAAACGAUUGGGGCAACUAUUAGUUUUAGGCUUAAAGUAGCAGCUUUCUGAGAUAGGAACCUGAGAAUAACACAGGCAAGACAUUAAAUUGCAUCAGAUUCAAGGUGGAGCCCUCUUCAAUUGUUUUUGCGAUCAUUACUUUUCUCUGGGGGAAGUGAUAUUAAUUAAUGGUGCCUGCUUAAUUCGAACCUAUCACUUGUUUUAGAAUCCAGUUCAUAAUAUAUUUUGCCCAUUUUCCGCCAAAGCAGGGAUUGAUUCUCAUGAAGAGAUUUGCUUGCUGUCGCCGCCAGACAAAAGAUUUCAGCCUUGAUUUCGAGGAUCAAGACCGGUUGGUAGGUGAAAAUGAUGGUGGUAUUGACGUAAAAAUAUGUAGAAGAAGGAAUUGGAUUUAGAAGGAUCUCCAUAAGAUUAUCUUCUACUUUUUUUCAUGUUUUUGUAUGAGAUUGGAAUUUGGAUACACUUUGUUGUAACUUUGUUGUAGUGUUUGAUUUAGAGGGUUAGUUGUUGUAUAUUGUUAUUAUUUGUAUGGUUGGAUGAUGAUGUUUGUUGUAUUGUUAGUUUUAUGUUUUUAGUUUAGGUUCUAUAUGAAACAUGUUUUGACGAUGUAUAUGUUUGGGUUUAGAUUAUUGAUGUUUGUAUUUACACAAAUAUAUUAAUUAAUAUUUGGUUUA